CUUGGAUGUUCUUCAGAACUUGCUCCUCUGGAACAUAUAUCUUCUCAAGGGUUUUUCCAAUCUUCUUUUCCCAUAAGGAGACAAUUUCGUUGAAUGAGUAGGUGUUCUGAGGAGGCCUGAUGUAAAGGAUUUUGUUCAAGGUUCUAGGAUCAUCCGCAGCUUUAAUGGUAUAGGUGCCAAUGUCAUCCUCCUUGUUAAAAACAGCUGGAGAUGCAAAAAUGAAAUGAGUAAAAUAGAGUAGAAUCAUCUUCCUAUUCCUUCAAGCUUGGACUACUCCGUAAUUCCACUUUUUUUGUUUACAGAACACAAACUUGAAAUUAUUUUGAUAUGAAACCAAGUUAUUGUUUUCAUUUAAUGCUCAUGUCAAAAACUCUCAGCUGGAGAGCAACCCAAGAGGACUGUCAAUAUAAAAAAAGAGGCUUUAGCCCAUCCAGUUCAGAUAAUAAUGAUUAAUUACUAGAAGUGCACAAUGGUUCCUCAGUUUGACCACUCCAGGUCACAUGGAUCAUGCUAGUUUCCUGUAUUAUGGCUCAAUUGCAAUGUAGCACCCAAGCAGUCAACCUCAACUGUCGGAAGGUUUUGUUUCUGGGUGAACGGGUUUAACCAGCUGGGGAAAGGGGGAGUGGGGUGGGGUUGUCCAGGUUUCAAAUAGCCACAUUCUGAUUUUCAGGAAUAUAGACCAUUCUCACCUCAACAACGCUGGCAACCCCAUCAAUUUUUUUGCCUGGAGAAGGAUAAUAUGCAGCUAUUGGUUGGUGAAAUGGUAAAUUACACUCUCAAAAGGAUUCCAUGCUCAUCUACAUAACCCGCUGAUUAGUAUUACUUUUUAAGCCCACUAUCAUCAGAUGUCACUGAUACAUGGACCGGUGCAUUCUAACAUCAAAACGAGAAAAUGCAAUGGGAAAUUAAGUUGUAUGAUUUUCAGAGGUUGCUUACCUUUUGGAUUCCCAUCUCCUAAAAUAAUAACUUUAUCCCUGGGGGGAGCGGUGGCUCCAGGCUGUGAAAAUGUAGGAAGGAAAAAGCCAGCAAAUGUGUUGGAGGACACAUAGGUGUAGGGAAUUCCUUCAGCCUCAAUAGUGCGGCGGAUUUGAGCCUUUAUCUCAAAGGCUGUUUUUGCUGGCUCAACCGCAUGUACACGGUCCACAUCAUUUCCAAACUCUGAUGGGAAGAAUCUCUGGAUGAAAUAAAGCACUUUAAGAAGAAGCUGUAUAACUCAAUAGAUUGAAAAACGGGUCAUAUCUAUUUAGUCAUAUUAGCUCACGACAGGGAUCCUAUAUGGGAUACACUUUGACGAACUUGAUACAAGUGUUCAGCAACCAUAAAGACAUACAAUUAGCAAUUCAAACGAUGGAAGGAAAGAGUGCACUGAUCAGGAUUCUUAAAAAGUGAAAGAAAAAACCAUGUAAGAAAUGUGAAAAAAAAAACUACCAAACUUCAUUCAUAGAAGGAAAAUGCGCACUAAUCAGGAUGCUUAGAAGAUGGAAGAAUAAAAACUAAAUGAAAACAGGAGAAAAAAAAAAAAAAAAACUUCAUUCUUGUUUAGUUGUCUUGCUGCUUUUUGAAGCCUUUUGUAUACCAUUUGUCUACAUUGGGUGUGCUGUCUUUUUUUGUUAGGCGCUUCUCUGUUAAUAUAGUUUGUUUUUAGCCUAUCAAAAAAAGGGGGGGGGGGGGGUGGUGGUUGUGGGUGUAUACAAUGGAUUGGAAGUGGUAUAGCAUGCCCCAUGAAAGGGAAUUAGUAUUUAAAAUUUUUUCCUUUUUACAUCAAAAAUUAAGAUUGACUUUAAAGCAUCGAUCCAACCUGAGUCAAUGCACAUGGAUCUAGACAAGAAUCAAGAUUGUUGAUCCUCAAUGAAUAUUGUAUAUAUGGAAUGUUCUUUCAUGCACUUCCAACAUUUCUAAAGAAGGUAUUAUUACAUUAUGCACAAAGGAUAAAGAUAUCACCAACAAAUUAUAACAAAUUCCAAUAAUAAAUAUCAUAGUACUCGGAUUUGCAAAGAAAAGAGGGAAUUAGAAAGAAGAAAAGGAGAAAAGGAGAGAAAUUUCGUCAAUUUGGACAACUUUACCUUGACAUUUCCAGCUUCUUUGAUGGCAGCAAUGAUCUUGACUUGAUCCGACAACUGUGCGCGACCAACGGUCGAGAUGACCACAUCCACUAGAUUAAUCGCCUUCACCAAACUCUCGUGAUCGUAUAGAUCACCCUGCAACAUAACAUAACCAAUCAAUAAACUAUUUCAUAACCCUAAUUCCCCAGUUAAGAAGUAAGAAUCCAAAAGCAGGUGUGUUUUUUCACUUUACUGAAACCAAAAUAACUUAAAACAUAAACAUCCGAACUUUUCUUUUCCUGAGGAUCGCCACUUUUUUCUUUCUGGAUGAAUGAAGAAUUCCAGUUUUCGUUUUUUUAGGAACUUAAACAUCCAAAAAUUCAAGAACUCCAAUUAAUUUCAUUCAUUUUCUCGGCGGCCAAAAGAAGCAAAAAUUAGAAAACCAAGAAUAGCGAGAAAUGAGAGCGAAUAUUACGUACAUACACCAAAGUCACGCCGGAGCUCUUGAAAAUCUCAAUGAUUUCCGACUUGGAAGGAUUCGAAACGGCGGAUUCUCUGACGAGAGCGAAGGUAGGGUGACCGGACUUAGCGCUGGCAGCGACGAUGAAUUUUCCGAUGUAGCCAGUGCCGCCGAUUAUGAGAAUCUUGCUCUUUUCGGACAUUGUGAGCUUUUCCGGCGAAUCUCCCGCGAGAAAUGUGGAAUUGAGAGGACUAAGCGAAAGGUGACUGGAGAGUUGGUGGGCACCAACGGCCAAAGACAAUGCUCUUGUAGGACAGAGCUCGAGGAUAUUAGGAUUAUGUAAUUACGGAACUAGCCUUGUGUUUUGGUGGUAAUCUCCGUUUUGGUUAUAUUUUGAAUGUGGCUUGAUUUUUAUGUGAUUCAUGAAUGUGUCAAAGUUCGCUUGUUUGAAAAUUGGUUUAGAUUGGAAAGUGAAAAAGUGUAUAUCACAUGAGAGAUUUAUAAAUAGAAAAAAAUGUAUUUUCACACACUAAUGUAAAAAUAAUUACAAAAUAAAAACUCUUUAAAUAAUUAUAAAAUAAAAACCCUUUAAAAAUAAUUUAAAUUUUAUGCACUCAUCGAGUACAUGAAAUGAUAAUUUAAUAUAGUUAUGUGUAACGACCCGCUCUCCCAAUAAUGACUCCCCUAGCUUUAAAAAAACGUCUUUAGGAUUAAGAUUGAUACUAUUUAUAAUAACUCGUAAAACCUAAAAAGGUCAUCACGACUUUAAAAUGCGUUUGCAAGAUUAAAAAAAAAUAAAAAAAAUUAUACUUAGAUAGUGUUAGGAACUUUCUCCCCUAUCUGAUGUGUGAUGUUACAAAUAUCCCCCAUGCAGACACAACAUCCUUGUUGUAUCUCAUGGAAUUGUGGAAUUAGAAUGAUAAUUUAAUGUAAUUAUGUGUAACGAUCCACCCUAUUUGAUGUGGGAUGUCACAAAUAUCCUCAUGCAGACACAACGUCUUUGUUGUAUCUCAUGGAAUUGUGGAGUUAAAAUGAUAAUUUAAUGUAGUUAUGUGUAAUGACUCGUUGUCCCAAUCAUGUAGAUAUUAUUCGUUUUGGACCCAAAAAAUGACUUUCCUGACUUUAAAAAAACGUCUAUGUGAUUAAGAUUGAUAUCGUUUAUAAUAACUCGCAGAACCUAAAAAGGUCCCCACGACUUUAAAAUGUGUUUACAAGAUUUUUAAAAAAAAUUAUACUUAUAUAGUGUUAGGAACUUUCUCUCCAUAUGAUGUGAGAUGUCACAAACAUCCCUAUGCAGACACAACGUCCUUAUUAUAUCUCAUGGAAUUAUGGAGUCAAAUAGACAAACACUCCCUAUGAGGCAAACAAACUCCCACACCGAAAUCAGAGAUCAAUUCCGAUAUUAUUUGUAACGAUCUACUCUCAAUUAUAUAAAUAUUGUCCAUUUUAAUCCGAAAGGGCAUUACAGUUUUAAAACGUGUGUACAGGAUUAAGAAAAGCCUUUACAUAUACAGUGUCAUGAUUUUUUUUUUCCUAUCGGAUGUGAGAUGUCAUAUUAUGAAUCCGUCAUUCUGUCUUUAUUCAUUUGUUGCAUUUAAGAUAUUUGAAAAAUUGAGCGAUUUUAUAAAAUGAGUUUUGAAAAGGCAUGAGAGAAGGAAAAAGAUACUAGUUUAAUUAAGGCUUACAACCCGGUCUUCUUAAAGGGUGGUUAAAUUCCCUGCCUAUUAAAUUUCUUAUCAGGUCGUUAGUCAAUGGAUCUAUUAAAUUCUAGUAUGACUUUGUAGAGUAGUAAUUACUCCAUGGGUGAGUAAUUAUUAAUAUGUAGCUGGGAUCAUUAGUAUAUUUUACUACAUUUCCAAUAGAAAAUGCUACCUCAAAUAAGUUACAUGUCUCCGCGAGACACUCAAGAAUUUCAGCAUAUUCCAAGACUUGACUUCCAAGUUAGCCAAAAGACAUGGAUAUGAGAUUUCAAUUGAAAUGAUUAAACCUUUUUAGAAUGUUUUCACUAUAAUUUCAUCGGCACAAAAAAAUAAUUAUAAAACACUAAAAUCUCUUUUAAAAACAUGUCUUUUAUUUUUAAAUUUAAACACUUACUCAUCAUUUUUAUUAGGAAUGAUAAUGAGACAAGUUUUUUUAGAUAUUUGUCUGCCUUGUUCUUAAUGAAAUGGGUUUAAAAUUUAAAUAAACGAAAUUAGAAUGAAUUUGGGAUUUUUUUAAAAACUUGGUACUAGCUAUUGUCUUUUCUCAUCCUAUCUAAAUUAUAUAUAAAAUUAAUUUAGUUUUAUUUUUAUUUCCCUAUUUGAUAUAUAUAUAUAAUUAUUUAUAAAAUACAUUUAUUUUAAUGUAAUUAAAUUUAAAAAAAUCAAAAUAAAUAAAUAAAUAAGACGAGAUGGGCAUGAAAAAUUCACAUACCUACCUUAUUUAAUUUUUUAAAUAAGAUAGAAAUGAGAAUUAUUUUGAAUAAACAAGAUAAGGUUGAAAUGAGAUCAACUCGUCUUAAACUAGUCUCGUUGCUAUCUCUAUUUUUUAUACUUUUUUAGUUGAAAGGGAUAAAUGAAUUAAAGUUAAGGAUUAAGAUUAAAUAUUCUACUUUACAAAAAAAAAAAUGAGACUAUUAAAUAUUAUUAGAAUUUUAUCAACUAGUCAUAAGAGUUUAAAAAAGAAAAUAUUGAUGAACAAUUCGUAGGAGGAAAUGAAUUGAGAAUAAAUUGACCUAGUGAACCUUCAGUUGCAUUGCCUCCUACUAUGUUCCACUUAUUCAGAAACGAAAGAGAAAGGAUGAGGGAUCUAUAACUAUAAGUUAAAAGGACAAAGGAUCAGGACAAAUAGAGGAUAUAUAUUAUGAGAUAUUAUUUCUAAUAGAAUAUGAUAUUUUAAAAUAUUGCAUUUAAUAUCAUUUAGAAAUUCUUCUCUUAUUUUUAUUUUAAUAAAUAAUUUUUAGUAUUUUAGUAAUAAUGUUUAUGAUUAUAAAUAAUAUAUAUAUAUAUAAAAUUAUAUUAUAUACUAAUAUGCUAAAUAUUUAAAAGCAUUACUAGUAAUUAAAUGAUACUAUAUAUUAAUAUGAUCAUUAUAAAUUUUAUUAUACAUAUAUUUUUUAAUUCUUUUAUUAAGAAGAAUAAAUUUAUAAUGUCAGUUAUACCUUAGGAUUGUUGUAUUUAACAUAUAGAGAUACAAAAGCGAGGAAAAAUGCAAAAGAAACUAUGAUUGAGUUAUUCUAUCAUUUACCGACCAAACAUGAUACAAAAUAUAUUAUCUCAUCUUUUAUCUUAUAUUAUAUUAUAUUCAACAAACUAAACAUAACAUAAUAGACCGACAUUCUAUCAAAUUUCUCGUAUUGUGAUUUUAAAACUUGAAUAGUUCAUGAACUAAACAUUAUUGCCUUUUCUUGUCUCAAUGGAAUAAGCGUUUUAAUUGUUCUAUAUGCAUUUCUUCAUCAAGCUCCCUCUUUUGAGCUAGAAAUAUUAUAUUAGGAGCUAGGUACUCCUUUUUGUAUAGCUCCAUCUCUAAUAAGGUACCAAAGAAGAUAAACUACAAAGGCAAAGAAAAUCUAAUUCCAGAAACUUCUACUUGCAUAAGAUUAGAAAGGCACAUUGUCCUAUUACAGAAUAUGCCCAAUGGCAUAGACAAGGAAAUAACCCACUAUUUUCCACACAACAUAUAUUAAGACAGCUGCACAUGUUUGCUUGUUUAGAUAGUGCAGCAUGACAGUGAAAACUACCAGGACCGAAGUCUACCUCUCAAACAAGCUGGUUGAGCAACUCAUCCACAGUUGUGUAUUUGACAUCGGGAUAUAGCUCUGAAGCCUCCACCCCAAAUGAUGGCUCGAUCUCAAAGUUGGUUUGGUCUCCCUUAAUGAAAACAGAGUGAUCGAUUGAUAAUAUUGCAUUGAGUGGAGCAGAGGCUUCUGCAAGAAACAGAGGAAAACCCAUCAAUAUGAAGAUUUUAGCCAUCAGAUCAACUAUAUAAACAGAUUUUGGGGCGAAAAUAGCCUCUAUAACUGAAAAAUUAUCAUAUGUGGAUACCUUCUUUAACUUAUUAUCAAGCUAGGCCUCUUCAUGUCACCUUGGAGUCAUUUAAUUUAAUUUUUUCCUUUUUAAAUGUAAGUUGAAAAUGCAUUUUGAAAAGAGUGUUUGGACACACGAGUCAAAAUAAUUAUCAAAUUGUAAAAAUAACCCUUUUUUCAAUUUUGUUGAGAGAUCCCAGCAGUCAAAAUAAUCAUAUAAUCAAACCCAGUCUUUUUCUUCCCAACCUUUUUUUUUUUGGCCUUAUCUUAAACUUGCUCUAUUUCUUUUUCAUUUAAGACACUCCAGAAAAACUCAAUCUCAUUUCAUAAUGUCCCACUGAAUUUUCUUAUCUCUCAAACAACUUCUCAUUCUCAUUCGUGAUGUUCACCUAAAGUGUUCUAUGAUUAAAUUUUAUUUAUUACGAAUUUAACUAAGGUGAAAUUUUCAUUAAGAUUGGUUAGCUGAAUUGCACUAGUGUUAUGUUUGGUUGUAAAAAACUUAGUUAGAGUUAAAUUUUCAAUCAUAAUAGUAAUAUGAACUCCACUAUGGUUAAGUUUUAUUUACAAAAAACUUAAGUGGGGUUAGAUUUCUAUUUCAUCUACAAAGAACCUGAUUAUGGUAACUUGAACAAUCCUCUGGUUAAGUUUCAUUUAGAAAGAACUUGAUCAGGGUUAAGUUUCCAUUUCACCUAUAAAGAACUUAAGUAAGAUCAAGGUCUUAAUUAAAAUGUUCAUUUGCAUUGAACUACCAAAACAUCGGACUUAGUAAAAACAAAGUUAGAUGAGAGAUCUAGUAAAUGAUAAGUUUCUAUCUGAUCUCGUCGUCAACAUUGUAGAAGUUCAAAUGAAAUUGCAAAAUAACCCUAAUAAAAAAAAAAUUAGAAAAAACCUCUAACCAAAAACAAUGACAAAAAACAAAACUAAAAACAAAGAGAAAGACGAGAUUCGAUCUCAUUUUCGUCACUAUAGAAACUUACAUGAAACUACAAAAAACCUUAGCAAAAAACAACGACGAAAAACAAAGAGAGAUGGAGAUCUGACCUCAUCUUCUAUAUUGUAGAAGUUCAAAUGAAGUUGCAAAACCCCUAACAAAAAACAACUCCUAAAAUUUGAAAUAGAUAAGGCUCUAAUCUUUGUUCAAGGGUUUGAACUUCACCAGAAAAAGAGAUAGAACAUGAACUUAGAGAGAAGGAGAAGGCUAGGUAUAAAAAAAUGGAAGGGGCAUUUUUGGAGGAAAGAAAGAAGAGUAAAAAUGUCCAAAAUUGGUCAUUUCUCAAAGGGAAGUCAUUAUUUCGAUUUUAAAAGCAUUUUAGUCGACUUCAAUCGAGGUCCGGGGCAUGAUCACCAGAUUUUACCAGCAGGUCAGCUAACAUUUUCUAAGUUAAAAACAAUUUAACCAAGAACCAAUUUCAUUUUAACAAUCUAGCAUAAAGAGAAUGUUCUAUUCACAAUCUCUGUUCCAAUUUAAAUUCACUAGGAAAACCAAAACUUGAACACUUCCAAAAAGGAAAAUGUUUCUCACUAACCUUGGAUGUUCUUCAGAACUUGCUCCUCUGGAACGUAUAUCUUCUCAAGGGUUUUUCCAAUCUUCUUCUCCCACAAGGAGACAAUUUCGUUGUAUGAGUAGGUGUUCUGAGGAGGCCUGACGUAAAGGUUUUUGUUCAAGGUUCUAGGAUCAUCCACAGCUUUAAUAGUAUAGGUGCCAAUGUCAUCCUCCUUGUUAAAAACAGCUGGAGAUGCAAAAGUGAAAAUGAGUAAGAUAGAAUAGAAUCACCUUCUUAUUCCUUCAAGCUUAGACUACUCUGUAAUUCCACCUUUUUUCUUUUACAAAACACAAACUUAAAAUUAUUUUCAUAUGAAACCAAGUUAUUGUUUUCAUUUAAUGCUUAUUUUUUCAAAAACUCUCAGUUGGAAAGCAAACCCCAGAGAACUGUUGAUAAAAAAAAGAGGCUUUAGCCCAUCCUGUUCAGUUUAAAACCCAAUAAUAAUUAUUAGUUACUGGAAAUGCAUAAUGGUUCCUUCAGUUCAACCCCUCCAGGUCACCUGGAUCAUGCUAGUUUCCUGGAUUAUGGCUCAACUGCAGUGUCACACCCAAGCAGUUGACCCCAGCUGUCCGGUUUUCAAAUAGCCACAUUUUGGUUUUCAGGAAUACAGACCAUUCUCACCUCAACAACACUGGCAACCCCAUCAAAUUUUCUGCUUGGAGAAGAUAAUAUGCAGCUAGUGGUUGAUGAAUGCACAUUCAAAUAACCCAUUGAUUAGUAUUACCUUUUAAGCCCACUAUCAUCAGAUGUCAUUGAUCAUGGGAGCGAGUGCAUUCUAAGGUCAAAAGAAGAAAAUGAAACAGAAUUUCAGUUGUUUUACGAUUUUCAGAGGUUGCUUACCUUUUGGAUUACCAUCUCCUGGAAUAAUAAUUUUAUCCCUGGGGGGACCAGUGGCUCCAGGCUGUGAUAAUCUAGAAACGAAAAAGGCAGCGGUGGCUUCAAGCUGUGAUAAUCUAGGAAGGAAAAAGCCAGCAAAGAAGUUGGAGGACACGUAGGUGUAGGGAAUCCCUUCAGCCUCAAUAGCGCGGCGGAUUUGAGCCUUUAUCCCAAAUGCUGUUUUUGCAGGGCCAACCGCAUGGAUACGGUCCACAUCAUUUCCAAACUCUGAUGGGAAGAAUCUCUGGAGGAAAUAAAGCACUUUGAGAAGAAGUCAUAUGACUUGAUAGAUGAAAAACCACUCAUAUCUAUUUAGUCAUAAUAGCUCACAGACAGGGAUCAUCCAUGGGAUACACUAUGAUGAACUUGAUACAAGUGUUCAGCAAGAAUAAAGUUACACUUAGCAAUUCAAAUGAUGGAAGGAAGAAGUGCACCGAUCAGGAUGCUUAAAAAGUGAGAGAAAAAACUAAAUGGAGAAGGUGAAGAAAAAAGCUACCAAACUUCAUUCAUGAAAGGAAAAAGUGCACCAAUCAGGAUGCUUAAAAAGUGGAAGAAAAAACUAAAAGAAAAAAGGUAAAAAAAAAAAAAAAAAAAACCCACCAAACCUCAUUCUGUCCUGAAUCACUUCAGUUUUAAUUUUUAAUUUUUAAUUAUUUAAUUAGUGCUCAAAACAUUUGACACUAUUAAAUUAGUCAUUUGACAUAAUGUAUAUGAUGUUAUCCAAUACCCUAUGUUUGUUGCAUAAGUAUAGUCUCCUUACACAUGGGUUCAAUAAAUUGAGAAAAUGAAUAAACGGUGAAGUUUGAACAAAUGAUUUCCAACCAAAAAAAGGAUCUUAUGCCAUGUUGGACAACCGAUUUACCUAAAACUUAAGUUGUUAGGAUUUAAGCCCACGGUGUAUAUCAUGUUGCCCAUCAGUAUCUAUAUCCAACGAAAGGUCAAGAACCUCCUUGAAACGAUCCUAUUCUAACUUGCCCCUAGCUGCCAAACCCUCAAGGGCAUUAGCCUAAGGGCACAAAGUCAAUAUAGCUCAAGAACCUUCCUGAGAUGUUCCUAUUCCAGCUGACCCUAGCGGCUAGAUCUUCAAGGGCAUUAGCCUAAGGGUGCAAAGUAAAAACCAAGUUUGAGAACCUCCUUGAAAGGACCCGAUUAUAAUUGGUCCCUGGCAGCUAGGCCUUCAGGGACAGAGCAUAUGAGUGUAAAGCCAUUCCAGGACAAGAACCUCCUUAGAAGGACCCCAUCACAAUAGACCCCUAUUGGAGCCUAAGAACAAAAAAUGAAUAAUCAUAUGAAGAAAUAAUAAAACAAAGCAUAAAAGAUAGAAGAGAAGAUAAAAAUAACAAUAUCCUAUGCCACCUCAUUGUCCCCUCCUUCCUUGGAUGAUGCCUCGCUUUUAUCAUUGUCCUCCUCAUCGAUUUCCCCCAAGGCCUUCAUUCGACCCAUGAGCUUGUCGACUUUCAAAAAAUGCUCUUGCAUUAUUGAACCUUAUGAAUAAAAUUAUCUUUUACCACUGUCCACAAAUGAUUUUUUUUUUAAAAGAAUGGCUUUGUCUUAGAGUUCUAUCCUUUUCUUUCUGUUUCUCAUGGAUAAAAAAAACCCCAACCCAAAUAUUUUUUUAUAACAAGGAUAAUUUUUUAUACCUAAAGAAUUAAAAUCGACUUUCAAACACCUAAGCGUUGAGACUCAACUCAAUCCAACCUCAGUCAAUUAACAUGGAUCCAGCAAGAAAAGAUUGUUCAUCCUCAAUGAAUAUUGUGAAGAUGGAAUGUUCUUCCAUGCCUUUUCAACACUCUCAACAUUUCUAAAGAUGGUAUUACUACAUCAUGCGCAAAGGAUAAAGGAAUUACCGACAAAUUAUUACAAAUUCCAAUAAUAAAAAUCAUAGGAACUUGUAUUUGCAAAGAAGAGAUGGAAAUAGAAAGAAGAAAAGGAGAGGAAGAGAUUUCGUCAAUUUGGACGACUUUACCUUGACAUUUCCAGCUUCUUUGAUGGCGGCAAUGAUCUUGACUUGAUCCGAGAACUGUGCGCGACCAACGGUCGAGAUGACCACAUCCACUUGCUUAAUCGCCUUCACCAAACUCUCGUGAUCGUGUAGAUCUCCCUGCAACAUAACAGAACCAAUCAAAAAACUAUUUCAAAGCUGUAAUUCUUCAAUAAGAAGUAAGAAUUCAAAAAUUGGUGUGUGUUUCCACUUUGCUGGAACCAAAGCAAAUCAAAACAUAAACAUCCAAAAUUUUCUUUUCUUUUCCUGCGAAACACUACUUUUUCUUUCUUUCUGGAUGAGUGAAGAGUCUCAGUUUUCUUUUUCUUAGGAACUUAAACUUCCAACUCCAAUGAACUUCGUUCAUUUUCUCCGCGGCCAAAAGAAACAAAAACUAGAAAAGAAAAAAUGGCGAGAAAUGAGAGCGAACAGUACGUACAUAUACCAAAGUCACGCCGGAACUCUUGAAACUCUCAAUGAUUUCCGACAUGGAAGGAUUCGAAACGGUGGAUUCUCUGACGAGAGCGAAGGUAGGGUGACCGGACCUAGCGCUGGCAGCGACGAUGAAUUUUCCGAUGUAUCCAGUGCCGCCGAUGAUGAGAAUCUUGCUCUUUUCGGACAUUGUGAGUUUUUCCGACCAAUCUCCGGCAAGAAAUGUGGAAUUGGAAAAGGCUAGCAAGCAGUAAGCAAUGACGACUGACGAGUAGUGCAGUACUGCAGUGUUCUUAUAUAACAAAGCUUGAGGCUAUAUAGAUUAUGUAAUUACGAAACUAGCCUUUUCUUUCAGCAGUAAUUCCCGCUUUGGUCAUCAUAUGUAUGUGGCUCGAUCUUUGUAUGAUUCACGUGUCCCGAUUCAUAUUUGUUUGAAAAUCGGCUUAGAUUAGUCCAAUUUACAAGACUACACCAUCUUUAAUUUGACAAGAGCAUAUAAUAUAUAUAUAUAUUGUAGCAAUCAUUAAUAUUUUAUUUUAUUUUUGGCACGUGUAAUUUUAUCUCUAGCUCCCAUAUCUUAUUUUAUUGCACACUUUUGACUCCGUUUGGCCAUAUUGAUAUAUAUCAUAGAUUUGCCUUAGAUUUUGGUUAAUAAAAUUUUAAUCAUUAUUGCACGUUUUUAUUCUCCACCCAUGUUUAAUAGUAUAUUUUAGAGACUUAUCGUGGAUAACCACCCCUUCACCUCUCCUACUGAAUUGUCAUUUGAUAUUGCUUGGGGAUCCCACAGAGUUGUCUAGUUGAUAGGUUGAUAAAAUUUACAUGCACGGUCAUUUUCAUGUCCUUAAAGCAAAUACAAAUUAAAAUGUGAUCGAUUGAUGCUAAGAUUUGAAUUUAUCUAUUUAAUAUAAAAUUGUCAUGGUCAAAUGUUUAUUGCUACUCCACGAUAGAAUGAUGAUUUUUAUUUUUGUGACAGUAACAUUUCAAAUUAUAAAAAACAAUGAAUUAAACAAUAUUUUUAUAUUCUUUACAAAAUCUUGGAUGUUUAAAAUUAGACCCUUUAAAUAGACACGUGACUUAAAUGGAAUACCAUAUUUGGGAAUGCACUACACUUAACUUGGAUUGGAAUAUAAUUCAAAAUGGAUAACAAUUAGGAAUGCACCAUGCUUAUUUGGAAUUAAGGGAGAGAGGGAUGACUGUUGGAAUCAUGAAAUGUUAUGGAACGGACCCCUUUUUAAAGAUGUAGAUGUCCCUUAAAGAAACGCUUCCAUCAAAAGAGUUGCACCUAACUAAUAAGAGAUGGGAAUGACUUCCAAAAAAUGUAUCACUUCAUGUUGGUGGCCUUUUUAUUAAACCUAGAAGCAUGUGGGGUUAGGCUCACACAUAUCUGGUGUGGCUUGUGCACAUGUGAGCCUAUGUUAGGCCCAAGUCCACAUUCAUCUAGUUGGAUAUAUGCAUAUGUGAGUUUAUGUAAAAACCCAUGUUUUCUUUUAAGCUUACAAAAUACUUGUAAAGUACCUUUUCGACUAGUGAUCUUCUAAGAAACGCUUCCAUCAAAAGAGUUGCACCUAUCUAAUAAGAAAUGGAAAAGGCGUCUAAAGAAGAUCUCACUUUAUGUUGUUGGUGACCUUUUUUCAAUGUUUUUAAAAUUGGACCGAUUAUUAAAUAUAAAAAAAUUACUCAUUCACGGUUCAUUAAUCGGACUGACAGUUGAACCAGUAACGUCAUAAAUAUAUAAUUUAUAAAUUAUUAAAAUAAAAAUAAAAAUGUAUGUAUUGUUUAAAAAUUAAAAUUUUAUUUGAAAAUCAGAAAAUUAGUUUUAAAAUUAAAAUUAAAAUUAAAAUCAUGGGGGGGAGGGGGAGGGGAGGGGGUUCGUUCUGCCAGUGAGAGAGCGACGUCCGACCAAUCAGCAAUUGACGAUAGUGGGAAGAAGCAGCUAGGGUAGUAGGGUAAGAGGGGUUAUUGGAAAAAAUAAUAAUAAUAAAAGAAAGGUUGAACGGUUCAAUGGUCAAAUCGUCGGUUCAAUCGGUCUAAUUCUGGUUUGACUACUUUUCGACCUAAUUCAUCAAACCAAACCGAAAUUGUGACUUGCUGGUUCGAUCCAAUUUUUAAAACCGUGUAUUUUUAUUAAACCUAAAAGGUGGGUGUAGGAUCACACCUAUCCAAUGUGGCUUGUGCACACGUGAGCCUAUGUUACGCCCAUGUACACAUUCAUCCAAUUAGGUCCAUGCAUAUGUGAGUUGAGGUUAAAAACCAUGUUUUCUUUUUACCUUACAAAAUACUUAUAAAGUACUUUUUCUGACUACUAAUCUUCUAAUGUGGGAUUGCUUUUUUCCACCACAUUCCACAUGAAUGCAUAGGUAACUUUGAGCUCAAUUUGUCAUUAACCCAUAAAUGGUUUUGAGUAUGUAAAUUUCUUAUCCACCAAUACCUACUCGUGCAGACGUUAUUGGUUAUCAUUUGGAGAAAGGUGUCCAACCUAUUGAUUGUUGUAAUUUAGAUUGUCCCAAUUCUAAUAGUUGUGGUUUUAAGGCCUAGAAUUGUUUCGUUGAUUCUCAUCUUAACCCUUCUCUUUAUUCAAUGACUUCCCUUGAAAGUAUUAUUUGAUGAUCUCCUAUCAGGGGGUUGGUCUCUUUCUUAUCUUCUCUUCUUUUUAAAUAGUCCAUUACCUUAUCAUGCAAUUCUUUAAAUGAGAUAGCAGUAUCACAAGCUCUCACAACAACAGUGGUCUCUUUGUAUUUUGAACCUAAUUCAUUGAGAGUGUAAACCACCAGAUCAUCAUUGUGCAAGAGUGAACUAAUAAUAGUAAGUUCAUCAACAAUACUUUCGAAGAUUUGGAUGUAUUCACUAAUAGUUUUUUGUUCUUUGAUCGUUUUUAUAGCCUUUCCCAUGAGGUUAGGAUGCAUGACCUUGAGUAAUUGGCAUUAAGUUUUUUUGGGUGAGACCAUGACUCUAAUGCCUUAGUAGCACAAACCACAAAACAAAAAUAGACUCCAAACUACAAUCUAACAUGAGAUGAAAUAACAAAUUAUUUUAAGGUUAAUUUUGUUGACUUUCCAUGAGGUUUUGACUAAAUAUAUUUAGUUCAUAUUAGUUUGAAAUUUCAUCAAAUACCUCCUCUACCCUUCUCACAAAUUAUUUCACUUACCUGUCUUCUAACUCAAAAUAAAGGAAGUAUUUGACGAUAUUUUAAAUUUAUAAAAACUAGGUAUAUUUAACCAAAACUUGAGGGAAAGUAAGUGAAAUUAACCUAAUUAUCUUACUUUUAAUAUAGCCAAUAUUCCAUAUCUCGUAUUGGUACUUUCCUUCUCCUUUCAAAUUGUUGUAGAAGGGCAAAGAUAUGACCGUUGUUACAUGUGCUAAAUCAUAGUAGUAUAUAAAGAAGCAUGCGGAACUAAACUCUUCACAAUGGAAAGUUUUUAAUCGUAGUUACAUCACUACAUCAAUCAACUCUGUGGUGCUAAUUUGGUAAAAUGUCAAAAGACUUUGACCCAUUAAAGGUAAAAAAGAAUAAAAAUAAAAAUUUGUUGUAGCAAUGGAUACUCUAAAACCAUAAAUACAAAGAAUUUAUAUAACCUAUCACUCGUAUUAUUUUACAUUGUAUAAGUUUACAAUAGAAAUGAUCGACUAAAUAUACAUUGGUAAUAUUAUAGCUUAGGGUCAAAUGUCAUGCGUUAUGAAUGUAAAGAAAAAUUGAACUUGAUGAUUUGGUUGAGCCUUUAUUUGCCAUUAAUAUAUGCCUUUAUGGACUGUCCACUGUAAAUUCCUUUCACUCCUCUCAUUGAAGAAUGAAACUCCACACUUUAUUCAAGUUUAAAAUGUUUUCUUGCAUAUUAAGGAGGAAAUUAAAAAAUAAAUAAAUAAAUAAAGGAAAGGAAAAUGAUCCGUUAAAAAACUAUAUUAUGAAUGUUAGAUAUCUUAAAAAACAAAAAAAUAUAUAUUUGUAGACCCCAUUUUGGGGAGCUGUCAUUUUUCUCACGUUUCCUUUCUUGCAGCUAGCUGUGGCCAAGUGUCACCAUCUUGCAUGGCCACGUGUCACUCCCGGAUUAGUCAAUAUGGGAUCAAAAUAGUGGAAUUGAUGGACCCAUCAGAGGAAGACACCUGGAAAGUGAAGAACAUUCUGGAAUCAGGGGAGCGUAUCUUCUGUUAUGGGAAGGUUGCCAGCUGCAGGAGUAGAGGAGUGGAGGCUGGUUGCUGCAGAGAGAGUGGAGGCUGGCAGAGGAGUGGAGGAGAGGUUUUGCUUUUGAAAAGGCCGUUAGAGAUAUUUUUAGGAUGAGGCAGCGGCAUUGAAGGGGAGAGUUUGGAGAGAUUCUUGAGGAGCAAGCUAGAUAUUGAAAAGAGAGAACGAGACAGAGAGAGCUGCAUUGAGAGGGAGGGAUUUCUUUUAAGCUGAGGCUGGUUGCUGCAGAGAGAGUGGAGGCUGGCAGAGGAGUUUUGGAGAGAAAGAGAAGGGUUUUUGGAGAGAAAGAGAAGGGGUUUUGGAGAGAAAGAGAAGGGUUUUUGGAGAGAAAGAGAAGGAGUUUUGGAGGGAACAGAGAGCUAGAGGGGGAGGAAAAACACUAGGAAGAAAAACAGAGAAAUCAGAAGAGACGGUUUUGGGUAGAGGAGGUUAUCAAGAACCAGAAGAAAAGGGCCUCCAGGUUCUUUUUGAGGGGUAAGUUUUCCACUGUGUUCUUGUUCUUUCUUUUUCUCUUCAUAUAUUGUUGUUGAGAUGCAUUGUUGUUGAUCUUUGGAUGGGUUAUACUCUGUUCUUCAUGGUUGACUGCUCCCCUUUUGCUUCUGUUUAUGGCUGAAAAUUGAUUUAAAUCCAUUUUUACCUUCUUUGUGGCAUUUUAAAGAAAGAAAAAGACCUUUUAAUUCACCCAUCUGCAAACCCACUAAUGAAGAGGUGAAGCAUAGUUCUUCAUGCUUCAUCUCAUUUUUCUUCCUCCAUGGCUCUGUUUUUGCUACUUUUCUCUCUGCUCUUCGUGUUUGGACUUUCUUGGAUAUGAAGCCGUAAUGGGGAGUGAGGCUAUGGGAUGACGAGACAGUGAGGGAUUUGGACUCCUUGAAUCCGUUUAUCCUGUAAAGGCUACUAAGGGCUUGGUAGAUCAAUGUUUGAGCAUAUGAACAGAGAGUGGUCUACACCGGGGAUACCAUUAUUGCCAGUGAUCCGUGUGGCAGAGGUUAGUGGGCUGUAGAGAGGGGAUCCUUUCUGACGGAGCAAAGGAACAAGAGAUGAAUUCAUGGGUUUUCUGAAUUGUUUUCACUAAGAAGGAGUUCACCCAGUACUCUUAGGCCUAAGAAGCUCGGCAUUUCUUUGCAAACAUAAGAAGCACAGGCUGGAACUAUGGAGGCCAUAGGUUUUACAUGGUAAAAAAGUGGGUUGACUGAGGAAUUGAGAAAGAAAUAAAGCAAGCAAAGCCGUCAUCGAAUGACGCCGGCGGCGAAGCGCCUCCACUUUGACUACGUCGUGCCCUCAGUUAUCGACUCUAACCACCGCUUCUCUAGUCUACGCGUGUCGCCGGAAGACUUGACGCUGAUCGUUUCUCUGCCUCUCUUUAUUUUCGGCUCUGUCAGGGGUCGAAACUCAUCCUCCGCUGGCGAUUGCGACGAGUGUCUCUCCUAGCUUAAGCCUCACGAUCAGCUUCGGCUGUUCCUGAUCUGCCGUCACGCUUCCCAUGCUCUAUACAUCAACACGCUGCUGGCAUCCAGUCAGGCAUGUCCUUGUAUCGUGUUCCGCAGGGAAUUCUGGGCCUGAUCUGCUCACUGUGGUGAGUGUCGCGCCAUGGAUUUUAACUGAUGGUGUCCCGACGAUUGACAAGAAGUUUUCCGGUGGAUGUGGUUCUUGGCGACGGAAGAAUCUUCGGUGGUGUGUCUAUGUACUUCGGCGAUCCUCUAAAGGACACUAAUCUCCCCAUUAGUUUACGCUGGUGACUGUGGAAGCAGAUUCCGCUUCAUCGGAAAACCCAAUCCUUCUCAAGUGCCUGGAAAAGCAGUCAUUUGUGAUCGGAACUUCACCUCGGCGCCCAAAGUCGCAGCGUUCUCCAACUGGUUUAGACAUCGACGAGAGACAAGUUGAUUUUAAUAUAAUUUCUGGCACGUCCAUUGCAUGUCCGUACGUGAGUGGAAAUAGCGACUGUGGCAGUGUACCCAAACGGCUUCACCACUCUCAAGCAUGAUGCUCUGAGAGUUGAAUUGAAAUGGAGGGGCGUUCUCAUAUUGCAAUUGUUGUUCCUAGAACUGAUGAGUCAAUCAGUAAAUUGGUUCAGCAACCUCAGAAGUUAAUAGAUCUCCGUGAGGUUCGCGAUAUUACUCAUAUGCCAUUUGCAGAAAGAGAUGACUGAAGGGAAACGGGUUCCUCUGAAUAUUACUAAAUUUGAUUAUGAAUGUUUGAGAAAGACCGCUGACAGUCAAGCAUAUUAAGGGGAUCCAUAUAAAGAAUUGUGGGUGUCCUUUGUUGACCGAGUUGGUCUUAGUCACAGAUAUCCUCAUCCAUGGCUGCUGAUAUAUCUCCUAAUUCUUCUUGAUGCUGCGGAAGAUAUUGUUGAAAUAGGAAAAACUGGGUGGAGAGAUCAAUUGUUACUCUGAUUUGAUUUUGGAUUGAAAAGGGAUGGGUUCAUUCAUGGAGCAUGUUCUGCCAGGAACGCUGUUUCUAGCAGUGAGUUUGUGGCACAUAUGCAGCGCAGUGGUGAGAUUUGUGAUGAACCCAAAGGGGUUUCAGGUUCGGGUUUUGAACCCAGUGUCUGGUUUUGAUGGAAGGCUUAGAUACUUGGAGCUUUAUGUGGUGGCAAUCGGAGCUUUUAUUGAUAUGUGCAUAGAGUUUUUGUAUUCAACUCAUCUCAAGUUCUUUGUGAAUGGGGUCUUGAACCCAUCUCACACGAAUGACUUUGAGCACUCUGGGAUGCUUCUCAUGUUCUUUAUUUUCGGGGUCGUCGCCUUGUUCUCCCAGCAAACCGGGCUUGUUCAAAACUGAAUAACCAAUGCUCAAUAGCCUUCACAUAGCUCCAUUCUGCCCUCACAUACUUCCAGCGCGUGACUUGUUUGAAUGAGAGCGACUUUUAUUGCCAAACAGUUACUUGGGGAACCGGUGACGUUACUCCUAUUGCAGGAUUGCUUGGCAAAUCUCAAUUCCAGAUUCACUUAGGAGGGAUCCUUGGCUGCUAAUUGGAAGGCUUCAAGACAGAAGGAAGCGAAGAGUGAUGAUACCAGGGAAGUGACUCAAUUAUCUACUCUACACUUGCCCGCUCAUGGCCCCAAAAUCUCAGAAGUGGUCAAGAAGUUGGAAGACUGCAUGUUCUGAAAUUGACCUAGCCUUUCAAAUCGGGUUCCCUACAUUGAAAUAAGAAGCAGUAGCAUGAGUUAUCCUCCAGAAUGGCUCUAUUCUCUGCAUGGUGCAUGGCCACCUUUGGGCCACAGUGCCAUUUCCCAUUUCACCAUCUCUAAUUUUGAAAAAUAUUCUUUUAAAUCCCAUUCUUCAAAUAAUUUUCUAGAUUUUAGUUUGUUUUAAAAUAAUUUCAAACUCGUCCACUUUUCAUCUUUAGUUUCUUUUUCUUAGAUUCCAAAAAUCCAUUUUUCCAAUAAAAUUUUGCUACCACUUUUCUUCCUAGCAAGCCAUUUUCAUAUCUCUUCUGUUUUUUUUAAAUUGUUUUGAAAUAAGCAAGAAUUAAUUCCGUAAUUCCGAAUAAUGGAAUUUAUGGAAUUAAUUCAUGCUAAGAUAAAUGGGCUUUGGUGGGGGCCCAACAUAUGAGAUUUUAUGAUUGAUUGACUGAUUGAUUGAUUCAUUAGCUAUAUGUGAUUGAUUUAUUCUGUUCCUUGGUAUACACAUUAUCCUUCUGUGUUUGUUCACUAACCCUGUUUCUGAUAGCACGUUACGGCUCGUGGCCCCGGUACGCACUCUCUAUACCUAUUCUGUUUCUCAUAUGUGCAUAAUUGAUUCGAGUAUUCAUUGCUUUCCUCAUCAAUUGCCACAUCAGCUUCAUUUUAUUAGUAGAGACCCGAUUUUAGGGACUUAGAGGGGUGCUAUGGUCUUUACCGUACCUUCCCGAUAAGUAACCUGACCCCCGAACCCGAUCCGGUUUUUCGUAGAUCACCUUUUCCAAAUAAGGAGUCACACUUAGGGUUUUUCUUUCUUAUUUUGUUUACCCUUUUAAAAAUAAAACAAAAAUACAGCUAAAAUCGAGCUCGCCAUUGAGUGGGAAACGCAUUGAGAUAGAUCGAAAUGCGGGGUCCACAACGCGUUCUUUUAUUCUCUUUAGUUUUAUAAAAAAGAUGGUAAAAAUGUAGUGAUCUUCUUUUAGUUUCUGUUUUAUAAGUGAGAGGGGACUAAGAUAGUAUUUAUUUUUUGACUGAAUAUAAAAAAUCAAAAUAUAUACAAAUUUACUUUAAUUAUAUUGGACGAUGUUAAUAGGUUACUUUUAGCUAAAUAAAAAAAAAAUCAAAACCUUAGAAAAAUAUUUUAAGUUUUAUUUACUCAAAUCAAUGUUUCCAAAAAUAUCCUUAUUGUCAAAACUGACUUAAAUGAAAAAUAAAUAAAAAAAUAUAAGCAAAAAACAAUUUAAUAGUUUUUAAAAAUAUUAUUAAAUCAUCAUUUGGUUCCCUUUUAUUCUGUCACUUUAAUUCUUUAAAACUAAAUUUAAUUCUUUUAUAACAAUAGAACAUAGGGGCCUAAGGUUGGAAAAUGACAAUUUACCCUAUUUGAAAAAAGAAAAAUUAUAUAUUCAUUUCUAGCCAAAAACAACUUUAUAUGUAAUUGUCAUUUUUUAUCAACCCCCACCGCUGAUGCAAAAGCCUUAACCUUGAAUGGAAUUUUAAUUUCAAAGACAUUUAGCACAUAGGAUAAAAAUUGUGCAUUUCAAUGAUCAAAGCUUCAUAUCUUAAAAGGUAGGUAAAUUUUAAAAUUCAACUAAGUUAUGUCUUCAAAAGACAAUAUUUAAUUGGAUUCUUUCGAGGUGUCAUAGAAUUAGAAAUAUUUUUUGAAUUAUUAUAUUUUAAAAAAUAUAUUUUUUUAAAUUGCCUUACUUUGUUCAAAAUGCCAAGAAGCAGGCAUAGGAACUAUAACAAAGCUCCAUCUCUAUUAGGGUACCAGAGAGGAUGAAUUGAAAAGGCUAGGAAAAUCUAAUUCCAGAAACUUCUACUUGCAUAAGAUACAGAGUGACUACAGAAUAUGCUCAAUGGCAUAGACAAGGAGGCCACACAUGCUUGCUUAUUUAGAUGGUGCAACAUGACAAUGAAAACUAGCAGGACCAGAAAUUACCUCUCACACAAACUGGUCAAGGUACUCAUCCACAGUUGUGUAUUUGACAUCGGGAUAUAGCUCUGAAGCCUCCACUCCAAAUGAUGGCUUGAUCUCAAAGUUGGUGUGGUCUCCCUUAAUGAAAACAGAGUGACUGAUAGAUAAUAUCACAUUGAGUGGAAAAGAGGCUUCUGCAAGAAACACAGGAAAAGCCAUUAAUUUGAAGAUAUUUGUCAUCAUUAAGAUUAUGUUUGGUUUCCAAAAAAUUUGAGGGAAAAUGCAAGAAAAGAAAAUAGAGAGGAAAAGUGGAAAGAAAAAAAAAGAAAAAAAAUAAAAAAAAUGGAUUCAAAAUCAAUAAAUUAUUUUUAAAUGCUAUUUCAAACUCAUUUCACCCAUUUCCCCCUAUUAUAUAAAGAUUAAACAAUUUUAAAAUGUAUAAAUUUUUAAUUAAUUUUAAUUAUAAUUUAUUUUCUUUCAUAUUUUCUAUAAUGAAACCAAGCAUGAGAAAACUAUUUUCUUUAAUAUUUUUUUUAUUUCCUUAAUACUUUCCGAGAGCCAAACAUAGUCUAAAAGAUCAACUAUAUAAACAGGGGCCAAAAAAUGGCCUCAAUGGUAAAAAAAUUAUCCUAUGUAGGAACCUUCCCAAACUUAUUUUUCAAACUAGAACUCUUGAUGCCAUCUACGCCCCAUUUUUAUUUUAUUUUUUUCCUUUUUAGUCAUAAGUUGAAAAUGCAUUUCUGAUUUUAUAAAGAAGUCAAAUUUUGAGCAAUGGUUUGAAACAUGACCCAAACUCAAUAUUAUUUGACCAAAACAGGCCUUUUUUUUAUCCAAAAUUCAUAUAAACACGUAAUGCUUGCAAGUUCAACCAACUCCUCUUUCUUUCUUUUCUUUUAUUCCCUUCAUUUUUCAAAUCCAUUGAGCAACUGCAAAUUGUUAGUCUGUCAUAUGAAUCUCUAAGGAAGACCCUAAUUGAGGUCUGGGGCACGAUCAAAUGAUUUUACCAGCAGGCCACCUAAUAUUUUCUAAGUUAAAACAAUUGAAUCAAGAACCAAUUUCAUUUUAACAAGGUAGCAUAACGAGAAUGUUUCAUUCCCAAUCUCUAUUCCAAUUUAAAUUAACUAGGAAAACCAAAGUAUGAACACUUUUAAAAAAAGAAAAUAUUUCUCACUAACCUUGGAUGUUCUUCAGAACUUGCUCCUCUGGAACAUAAAUCUUCUCAAGGGUUUUUCCAAUCUUCUUUUCCCAUAAGGAGAGAAUUUCGUUGAAUGAGUAGGUGUUCUGAGGAGGCCUGAUGUAAAGGAUUUUGUUCAAGGCUCUAGGAUCAUCCGCAGCUUUAAUAGUAUAGGUGCCAAUGUCAUCCUCCUUGUUAAAAACAGCUGGAGAUGCAAAAAUGAAAUGAGUAAAAUAAAGUAGAAUCAUCUUCUCAUUCCUUCAAGCUUGGACUACUUGGAAAUUCCACUUUUUUUGUUUGAAGAACACAAACUUGAAAUUAUUUUGAUGUGAAACCAAGUUAUUCUUUUUCAUUUAAUGCUUAUGUCAAAAACUCUCAGCUGGAAAGCAACCCAAGAGGACUGUCAAUAUAAAAAAGAGGCUUUAGCCCAUCCAGUUCAGUUUAAAAUCAAAUAAUAAUGAUUAAUUACUAAAAAUGCAUAAUGGUCCCUUCAGUUCAACCACUCCAGGCCACAUGGAUCAUGCUAGUUUCCUGGAUUAUGGCUCACUUGUAAUGUAGCACCCAAGCAGUUGACCUCAACUGUUGGAAGGUUUUGUUUCUGGGUGAACAGGUUUAACCAGCUGGGGAAGGGGGGAGUGGAGAGGGGUUGUCCAGGUUUCAAAUAGCCACAUUCUGAUUUUCAGGAAUACGGACCAUUCUCACCUCAACAACACUGGCAAACCCAUCAAUUUUUCUGCCUGGAGAAGAUAAUAUGCAGCUAUUGGUUGGUGAAAUGGUAAAUUAACACUCUCAAAAGGAUCCCAUGCUCAUUUACAUAACCCACUGAUUAGUAUUACUUUUUAAGCCCACUAUCAUCAGAUGUCACUGAUUAUAUGAGCCAGUGCAUUCUAACAUCAAAAGGAGAAAAUGCAAUGGGAAAUUCAGUUGUUGGAUGAUUUUCAGAGGUUGCUUACCUUUUGGAUUCCCAUCUCCCAAAAUAAUAACUUUAUCCCUGGGGGGAGCGGUGGCUCCAGGCUGUGAUAAUGUAG
rnacentral:lncRNA from 1 species